CCUACGGGGGGCAGCAGUGGGGAAUAUUGGACAAUGGGGGCAACCCUGAUCCAGCCAUGCCGCGUGUGUGAAGAAGGCCCUCGGGUUGUAAAGCACUUUCAGUGAGGAAGAACGCCUGGUGGUUAAUACCCAUCAGGAAAGACAUCACUCACAGAAGAAGCACCGGCUAACUCCGUGCCAGCAGCCGCGGUAAUACGGAGGGUGCGAGCGUUAAUCGGAAUUACUGGGCGUAAAGCGCGCGUAGGUGGCUUGAUAAGCCGGUUGUGAAAGCCCCGGGCUCAACCUGGGAACGGCAUCCGGAACUGUCAGGCUAGAGUGCAGGAGAGGAAGGUAGAAUUCCCGGUGUAGCGGUGAAAUGCGUAGAGAUCGGGAGGAAUACCAGUGGCGAAGGCGGCCUUCUGGACUGACACUGACACUGAGGUGCGAAAGCGUGGGUAGCAAACAGGAUUAGAUACCCGUGUAGUC
rnacentral:rRNA from 1 species